GCUCAUAUAGUGUAGUUGGUUAUCACAUCUGCUUCACACGCAGAAGGCCCCCAGUUCGAACCUGGGUGUGAGCA